CCCUGUAGAGUUGAGUCAUGGAGAGUCUCAGGGAAUUAUGACAGUCUUAAAUCAUUUAUUGCAGGUGAUUUAUAAAAUAAAAGAAGUGAUGGAAGGAUAAUUUGUAUAAAGUUUUAGAAGUGUAAAAGAAAUGUAAUGGUGUGAUCAUCGGGACGAUGAUUUUACAAGGUGGAGGUGGAUGUAGUAUUGAGCGCUCUGGUUAAGUGGGGUGGGGGGAGGAACUUUGGGCUAUUUAGACAUUUACACACACGGAACAAAUUAAGUGAUGCACAGAACAAUGAAAUGCGGUGAGAACGCCACACAUAAAUUGUGAUAGGAUUUGGUGUGCGCCCUGAGAACCUCAGCGACCAGAGCGGCUGAAUUUGAAUAUGAUGUUAACAGAUUUGAUGCACUCCCAUGAGAACCUCAACGACCAGAGUGGUCAGAAUUGAAUAUUGCUGUGCUAACAGGUAUGAAGUGUAUUUGAAGUUAUUUUGGAACGAUUAUUGAAAAGGAAUUGAUUUAGACGUGCUUUAUGUGAUUUGACUUUGUUAAUGUUUGUAUUUUGUGUAUUUUUGGGACAGAUUGCCA